GUUGUCGGAUUCACUUUAAAUCCAUGUGUGUUGGUAUGGAUUGGAGUGGAAUUUAGUUCAAGUUCCACUCCAAUCCACCUUAAUACAUGUGGAUUGGUGUGAAUCCGACU
rfam:Sorghum bicolor cultivar BTx623 chromosome 10, whole genome shotgun sequence.